ACGCGAAAACCUUACCUGGUCUUGACAUGGUAGGAGUCCUGCAGAGAUGCGGGAGUGCCUUCGGGAGCCUACACACAGGUGCUGCAUGGCUGUCGUCAGCUCGUGUCGUGAGAUGUUGGGUUAAGUCCCGCAACGAGCGCAACCCUUGUCCUUAGUUGCCAGCACGUUAUGGUGGGAACUCUAAGGAGACCGCCGGUGACAAACCGGAGGAAGGUGGGGGCGACGUCAAGUCAUCAUGGCCCUUAUGACCAGGGCUACACACGUGCUACAAUGGUCGGUACAAAGGGUUGCCAAACCGCGAGGUGGAGCCAAUCCCAUAAAACCGAUCGUAGUCCGGAUUGGAGUCUGCAACUCGACUCCAUGAAGUCGGAAUCGCUGGUAAUCGUAGAUCAGCAUUGCUACGGUGAAUACGUUCCCGGGUCUUGUACACACCGAA
rnacentral:rRNA from 1 species